GAUGAACGCUGGCGGCGUGCCUAAUACAUGCAAGUCGAGCGAACAGAUAAGGAGCUUGCUCCUUUGACGUUAGCGGCGGACGGGUGAGUAACACGUGGGUAACCUACCUAUAAGACUGGACUAACUCCGGGAAACCGGGGCUAAUGCCGGAUAACAUUUAGAACCGCAUGGUUCUAAAGUGAAAGAUGGUUUUGCUAUCACUUAUAGAUGGACCCGCGCCGUAUUAGCUAGUUGGUAAGGUAACGGCUUACCAAGGCAACGAUACGUAGCCGACCUGAGAGGGUGAUCGGCCACACUGGAACUGAGACACGGUCCAGACUCCUACGGGAGGCAGCAGUAGGGAAUCUUCCGCAAUGGGCGAAAGCCUGACGGAGCAACGCCGCGUGAGUGAUGAAGGUCUUCGGAUCGUAAAACUCUGUUAUUAGGGAAGAACAAAUGUGUAAGUAACUGUGCACGUCUUGACGGUACCUAAUCAGAAAGCCACGGCUAACUACGUG
rnacentral:rRNA from 1 species